CCUACGGGUGGCAGCAGUGAGGAAUAUUGGUCAAUGGGCGGAAGCCUGAACCAGCCAAGUAGCGUGCAGGAUGACGGCCCUACGGGUUGUAAACUGCUUUUAUACGGGAAUAACGCGCCUUACGUGUAGGGCUUUGUAUGUACCGUAUGAAUAAGGACCGGCUAAUUCCGUGACAGCAGCCGCGGUAAUACGGAAGGUCCGUGCGUUAUCCGGAUUUAUUGGGUUUAAAGGGAGCGUAGGCCGCAUGUCAAGCGUGCUGUGAAAUGUCCGGGCUCAACCCGGGCCUUGCAGUGCAAACUGGCGUGCUUGAGUCCGCGGAAGGCAGGCGGAAUUCGUCGUGUAGCGGUGAAAUGCUUAGAUAUGACGAAGAACCCCGAUUGCGAAGGCAGCUUGCUGCAGCGGAACUGACGCUGAUGCUCGAAAGCGCGGGUAUCGAACAGGAUUAGAUACCCCUGUAGUC
rnacentral:rRNA from 1 species